CAAAGAAGCUGUGGUACUUGGAGAUCUCUGUUGCUCUCUCUUAGAGAAGUGCUGGGCUGUCAGGAGACCACUUCAUGCUUCUCCUGUAACAGCACCUUUUGCAGCUGCUGGAAGUCACCAUCUCUUGGGCAGGGGGAUUUUCUGCUCUGCGCAGUUUCUCUGGUUUGGAAGUGAAGCAGUUUAACAAUGUGUCCUGAAGGAAACAGGCACCCAAAGAGCAUUUCCAAGGAAGAUAUAAGACAAGCAGGAUUCUAAUUUAGAUGGAGGAAAUAAGAAACAUAGUGCUGACAGCAGGCUGCAAUGCUACCCUACACCUAGUUUUGUGAAGAGUGGAUGCAUCCACUGAGAGAGCAUGUCCUGUAUCCAAUCUGGCCACAGAUUUGCUGGAUCUCCGACACUUAAAAAAGCCCCGGUAUUUGGGCAUUAACAUAAACUCUGCUUUGUGUAAGCAGUAAGAAUGCAGACAGUGAAAGUCUAAGGUGAAGGUUUAAGCACCUGCAGACUGAAUUUAUGGGACUCCACAGUCACAACUGGACAAGAGGUUGUCUUGGGACAUACUUUUAGUUAUGAUACCCACGUUCCCACCCCUUUUCUGUUCAUUUUUUUUCCCUGUUGUUGCAGCUCCCUAGAUGUUUCAGAUAUUUGCACCAGCUCAAAGAAAAUUUCCUGAUGUUUUCCUGGAUUUCCCUGUAUCCUCAAAUUCAGGUUGGAAUCUUGAUUGCAUGAUGAAGAAGGAAAAGAGAUCUUGGUUCCUAUCCACAGUUAGUUAGUCAGUUGGCUCUCUCCCAGCUCUGCAAAGGACAAGUAUGUGUGAUGCCUGAUUCAGGGCAUAAUAUAGUAACUACCACAUGCAUUCCAGUGAGGAUGCAGACAGAAAUCAUACACAAAUUUAUUAUUCUGCCUCACGGUUUUCCAUAGAGGACGCUACAACACAACACAUUCCCAGCACAAAGGAAAUGUCCCCAUGUACAUCUGACUAAGUCCAGAGACAUUGGGAAUAUGGCAACACAAGUGUAGCUUUGCAUAUAGAUGCCAGAUCUGGGCUAAUACAGACAUCAAUCAGUUGGUUUCCUAAAGGGUGUCAUCUCUGGAGUUUGUUCAGUAUGUAAAUUUUUUAAUCAUAAUCUUAGUGUUUUUUGUUUUGUUUUGUUUUGUUUUGUUUUUCUGAAAAGACACCAACAUCAAUUCCUUGCUUGUGGACUUUCAUUAAAUUGGGGUGGCUAAAAAGGGGGGUUUGUAACAGUCUAGACUACUAAAGGAGAAAGUCUGAGUCCUCGACACAAAAAAAGAAAGUACACCUGUGAAUCAACAUUAGGGGGAGCAUAGGUAUUGUCUAUGAACACACAGAUUAAGUGAAUAUUGAACCGGUCAUAUUCUUCCAUUUAGUCCUUGUCUAUAAUCAUGGUUCCUAGCUUGGGAUGAUUAAUGCAUUCCAUGCAUUAAUCUCCUAAUUAGAAACCUCCCUUUAAGUGUCCUGCCUUCUUCUGCUGGAUACUAUUACCUAUCAUCAGCUUAAGACCUGCAGAUAAGCGGGGAUAUUGUCAAAGAAAACUCUCUCUAGAAACCUCAUCCAGAUACAUAGUUUUGUUAAGAAAAUUCAGGCAAAUUCAGGAAAAUCAAGGCAUAUUUUUUUUCAAAAAGAAAUGUACCCAUGGGUGACACUAUGCCAUAAGUAUUUUCUUAAGCAACUUGAAAGAAUUGUGCCUACAAUUUAGGUGAUCUGAAAUCACUUUCUCCUGCUCCACUGACAUUGCAUAUGAUGGUGGCAAUUUAGGAUGAAAGUCACAAAAGAACAUCUUGCUCCUUUUAAAAUCCUCAGUAUAAAACAAAACACUCUUUUCAUUCCCACAAGGCAAAUAAAAAGAUACACUUUCACAAAAACAAACAAACAAACAAAAACUGGCUAUGUUUUGGUGCAAGUUAACCAGAAAGAAAUAUGUGGAAGGAAGAGGCUCAGCUCCAUCCUUCUUGUUGAGCUAGGAGGCGUCUCUUGCAGCCAGGCCUGUAGCUGGGUAAAUUUCCUUUUGUCAGAUUUCUAACUCUGUUCUUUUCACACAGUGCACCUUGGUGGUACAGUGCCUCACAAGAAAUGGUACCUGGUUCACUGCCCUCUUCUCUCUGACAUGGGACACAGUUUUGAACUUGGUCUCAGGGAAGCAUCAUGACCCCAGGGCUGGGGGAUGCCAGAGGAAGGUCCUUGUAUGUUCUCAUGUUGGAGCUGUUUCAGGAGUGGAUCUGGCCAGUGUCAAGCCUGGCUUCUGCUGUUGGUGGCUGUGGGAAGUAAUUCUCUUUACUAAGCAGUGAGAAGUUUAGUGCCAGGACUUGUCUAAUAGUGCAGGUACUUAAGGGUUUUAUGGUGGACACAUGAGAGUCUGGAUACUCUGUCUUUUUGUAUCUGAAGACAGCAAAAUUAUUUUUCCUGUAUAGUCAUAAAUCCCCAGGGAAAGUGUGAAAAGGGGGAAAUCAUUGUUACCCUCUGAUUUCAGGCUUCCCAGACCUUUUCCUUUGGACUUUUUGGUGCACCUGAUAAGUAUCUCUGACUUGUGUGCCUGGUGAUGUGCCCAG